rnacentral:rRNA from 1 species
GACGAACGCUGGCGGCGUGCUUAACACAUGCAAGUCGAACGGAAAGGCCCUGCUUGCAGGGUGCUCGAGUGGCGAACGGGUGAGUAACACGUGGGUGAUCUGCCCCUUACUUUGGGAUAAGCCUGGGAAACUGGGUCUAAUACUGGAUAGGACCAUGCUGUAGGUGGUGUGGUGGAAAGAUUAGUUUCGGUAAGGGAUGAGCUCGCGGCCUAUCAGCUUGUUGGUGGGGUAAUGGCCUACCAAGGCGUCGACGGGUAGCCGGCCUGAGAGGGUGGACGGCCACGUUGGGACUGAGAUACGGCCCAGACUCCUACGGGAGGCAGCAGUGGGGAAUAUUGCACAAUGGGCGCAAGCCUGAUGCAGCGACGCCGCGUGGGGGAUGACGGCCUUCGGGUUGUAAACUCCUUUCAGCCAUGACGAAGCCCUUGUGGUGACGGUAGUGGUAGAAGAAGCACCGGCUAACUAAGUG